GCCAAGCCUGAAGGAACAACGAAAAAAACAAACUAUCAACGGUCCAACAGAAUCCAGUCUGUGUGUGUAGCCUGGUUGUCCGGUCUUGUUCUGAUAAACUGGAACAACUUCAGGAAAAUGCACGGGUCUAAAGAAAUCAACAAAAAUCAGAACAGUGCUGCAGUCACAUCGUGUGGAGCAGGAACCCAAACAAUGCAGAGAACAUUUGAAGCAAAAUAACCUGAUUACAAACAUCAAAGAGAGGUAAUUGUGGAGACUCACCGUGCUGCGAGCAGAGCUGCUGGGCCAGUGUGCGCUGGUCGUACAUGGACUUGAGGACGGACACACUCCCCGACACUGUUUGCAACCUGCAGUCUGCUGACAAACACACACACACCACCUGCAACACACACUGCAACCUGAGAGAGAAACACAGAGACACAUUUAUUUUUUAUAUAGUUUUUAUGUAAACUAAUACAUAGUCAUAAGCAGAGUGGGACUUUCACGGCGGCCAUGACGGCGAUGGCCUUCAUUGCCCCUCGGUCUGGCCGUGAUGCCCCGAAAAUAAUUGUACGUCCUACAGCCACCAUGGCCGUUGUGCCCUGAUACUGUUAAAAUCUCCAAGUUGCUUUAAAAGUGUCAGAGCGGUGGUCUGGGCCCUGAAAUGCAUUAGUCCUUGUAGCUUGGAUUGGUUCCGCACACCUCACAUGUCAUCAUCGCCUCAUUCAGUCAUCAUUGCAGCGUCUCGCUAUAUGACUACAAGGAGGCCUCGUGUCUCUUUUUGUCCGUGAGUUUAUUCACUUCUGAGACAGGUUACUGUCGUCCGGAACCACGGCAAAACAACAAAGAAGUACGUUAAUUAUUGCACACACAUAUACCGUUAGCUCUCCCAUAGCAUUCCCCCGUCUCUCUCUCUCUCUCUGUGGGAACCUCCCUUCUCCUCACCCAGUGGCAUUUUUAUAUGUACAAAACUGGUGGGGCACGAACAACUUAGAUAUAUAAAGGCUUUCUGUACCUUAAUACAUGGAGUAAAGAGCGCUAUCACAAAGCAAAACUUAACAAUAACAACGACCGUGAUGCCACAGACACUCGUCACCGUGGUUACAAUAGCAAUCAUCCAUCGAUACAUAAACUGUACUUCCGCUCAUCAAAGCUCCAGUAGAUGGUCAACUUCUUUCAUUUUCUGUUUGUAUUAUUUACCGCUGGUGAUGUAGUCUAAGCCCUCUCAUCUCCUCUGCAUAACUGCACUUUUCGCACACACACUUACAGCCAAUCAGCUCUGACUUAUGAGAUGACGUUUCAGUGGGGCAGCGAGCGCUUUGCUCCAGUUCUGAUUUGUUUUUUGCCGCACACAUUGAAUGAAAAACUACUCUAUUCAAUGCGCAGUGUAGUAAAAAAGUGAUUUGUUUUCCAUGUCAUUCAUGUGUUUUUAUUAUCAGAAAGUUAAGUUGUUUAUUUGUAAGCUCAAAAUCCUAAUUUUUCCCGAAAUGGCCUUUGUGCCCUGGCAUGUGGCCUUUGUGCCCUAAAAAAAUUUGUGACACAAAAGGCCAAAUGGCUUUGCCCCUGAAAUGACGAAAUUCCAAGCCUGGUCAUAAGUCAACACAGAAUUGGACUCAUUCCUGGAGUAAGAAAUAAACAAGUGGCUCCUUUUUAAUUCUGAUCUCAUGGUCAGACGGAAUAAUUCAUAUUUUAUCAGUUAUUUAUACGCUCCGUUUUGAUUGUAAAUCACUGAGGAUGGUUUUCGCUCAGAUAUUGCAUCACGGACAGUCAGUGGAAAAAAUGCAAAAACCACACACUCCCUGCUCAGGCACUCCUCUUUCUCCAGUGGUAGUCCUCCAAGGUGUGUGUUGCAUCAUGUGUUUUUUGUGUGUGCAAGCGUGUGUGUCUGUAAUGUAACUAGAGGAUUGUGGAAAAAGAAGGUGUGCUAUAAAGAGUUUCACAAUGCUAGAAGCUCUCGCAAAAUGAAGACGAAAACUCUGAAAAUCUAGCAAACUUGUAAAUCCAUCAUCAAGUGACAACUCAUCAUCAUGAUAUUGAUCUUCAUGAUGACUCUUAUCCUUGACUCAAGAUUUGGAUCCCUACCAAGACCACAGUUAACAUAUUCUGUUCAUUUUCAGCUUCAUAUUUGUAUUUAGUGUCUCUACUGGGACAUGUCUCCAUGCUUUAAUGUUGAAAAAGGUCUUUAUUUUUCUCAUACUGCCUGUACUGCAGCACCUCUUUUCACCCUCUGUCUGAAACCAGAGCCCAGUCUGUUCUGAUUGGUUAGCUGGUCGGCUCUGUUGUGAUUGCUCAACUGCUUAGAGAUGUCCCGCUUCUUAGCCAAUCAUGUACAAUGUGUUGGAGCUCUAGCCAAUAAAAGUGCAAGUUGUACAUAGUGAUUUCAUUAUGCUAUGGAUGAAACCCCCCAAAAUCUCAAUAGGACCUCUUUAAUUGAAUCUUUUAGUUAGGGCUGGGUGAAUAAUCAAAUAUAUUAUGCAAUUAUUAUUUUGGAUUCCAACUAAAAUCCAAACAAGAUAACGAGAUCAAGCAAUUAUUGUGACGCAUUCCAUUUCGCCAUGAUGCUCUUGUUUUGUAUUGCGUCAGAAAUCCAGCACACCUCUUUCCACUAUUGCGGUGCACUUUCACCCAGGCCUGACACCAAAAACUUCCACUCAGCCAUGCUGUUGCACGUUCAGUUCAGCGUGCCAAGAUGACGGAGCGAGAGACGGUGGUUAACAAGAAAAGACUAAGCAAUUCAGCUGUUUGGAAACCUUUUGUUUCCAAGGAUUGUGUGUUUGAUCGGGUGUGUACCUGUCAGCAUGUGUGUGUGGCGUCCUCUCGAUAAGCACGCGCAGAGUCUUCAUGGCAUUGAGGACGAGCUCCUCAUUCUGCGAGGCGCCUUCACUGCCUUGCCCGGCUUCACACAGUCGCAACAGUGACUCCAGCAAAGCAUUCUGGGAGCACAAACCCACACCUGCAGUAGAGGGUUCAGGCUAAGAACAGAGGGGGUAAAAGAAAAUAUCAUUAAAGGUUUUAUGUGAUGGGAAAACAAUCUCUGUUAAUCAUAAUAACAUAAUGAUGAUAAUCCUUCUAGAAGCCUCCUGGAAGUUAUAUAUAUAUAUAUAUAUAUCAUAAAGUUGAAAUGUUCUAAAUGAAUGAAUGAAUGAAUUAGUACAAUAUAAACCAUAUCUGAAAGUGGAAAGGUGUGUGUGUUCAUCAGUGUGUUCCUGUUUGUACCUUUAUGUCUGGAACUCGGCUCUGACUCUCCUUUGACAGCACAGCCUCCACCACCUGGAGAUGAGAAGUAACUGUUGUCAUCUAUACUGCAACUUUAAAAGGGGAAAACCAUUCAUACUGGGUCGAGAAAGCCUACAUCAGAAAAAAAUAAACUACAGAUGCAUCACCUGUGUGAUUUCAAUGUUAUUAAAAUAGUGUCUGCAGGUUCAUUACAGGUGUUGUUGUUGUUGUUGUUUCAUCACCUCGUCACUGUGGGCCAGCAGCAGGUUGAGUAGCCUCAGAGCAGCCAAACCAGUGUCCUCCACACUGAAACCAGUGGAACCAGCCUCCUCCAGUCUCCCCAGUCCAGCUGCAAUGCCUGCAGGGAGUGAGCUGACAGCAGUGGAGCUCGAGCUGUCGCUCCCAGCGGGGGUGGAGCGCAGCGAGUCCAGAGCCUGACAGAGCCGAGACAGGUGGAGGUCCAACAGAGGGAGGACGAGCACAGCUCCAGGACACGACCUGCAUAGACAAACACACAGAGUAAUUUAGAUCAAACUAAAUAUAGAGUUUUGCUUGGAUUAAUGAUGGUUUCCCAAGUCCCAAUGAGAGUCUGCAUUACUGGAUCUUACACAGUAAACAUCUAAAUGAUUGCAUCUUAAAAAACUUAAAAAUAAAAGGUGUAAUCAAACAUGUUUUUUUAUGUAAAUAGUGAACCCUUUUUUUUAUAAAUGUUGUUGACUUGUCAAUGAAACACUCACUGGAUCAACUGUUUUAUAUUUUCUUGGGGGAUUCUGUAAGUAUCUACAUUAACAUAAAGCUGUUAACUAAAGUGAUUUCAGUGCUGCUGUGACGUUUGGCCACAGGAGGGUGCUGUUGUCCACAGAAAUGUUUAUCUUUAAUGUGUUUCGUUGUUGUGGAUUCUUCAGUGAGGAGCAGUUAGUGCAGUUCAUCAGAGCAGCUGCAGUGUCUCGGUCUACCUUUUGUUUGUGCUGCUGGCUGCUGGUCGGUUCUGGCUCAGCAUGUUGAGUCCAGUUACAGCCAGACUCUGGACCGGGCUCAGAGCCGCUCUGGGGGCUCCGCCUACACCGACAUUAAUGCUGGCUGCAGGAGCAGAGUGGAGCAGAAAACCUGAAGACAGCCCGCUGAAAUCACAGAACACCACAUAACAGCACAUUAGCUGCUAUUUUAAAACCGUCAUGUGCCUUGGAGCUGCGAAUACUAAUAGUCCUACAACCACAGAUUAAACUGCUGGAUUAAAUUCCUUUUAUUAAAAUUAAAGUUAUUUACAUUCAA